rnacentral:rRNA from 1 species
UACGUAGGGUGCAAGCGUUAUCCGGAAUUAUUGGGCGUAAAGAGCUCGUAGGCGGUUUGUCGCGUCUGCUGUGAAAUCUGGAGGCUCAACCUCCAGCCUGCAGUGGGUACGGGCAAACUAGAGUGCGGUAGGGGAGAUUGGAAUUCCUGGUGUAGCGGUGGAAUGCGCAGAUAUCAGGAGGAACACCGAUGGCGAAGGCAGGUCUCUGGGCCAUUACUGACACUGAGAAGCGAAAGCAUGGGGAGCGAACAGG